AAUGGAACCUGCAGGUACUAAACAUGUAGACAAAUGAAAAAUGCCUUUGUCUACAAAUUGCAGUGAUCCUACAUAAACAUGAAGGUCUCUGUCUGGCUUAGCACAGCUAUCUAAGUCUGAUUGUUACCCUCCAUACAAG